GUGUCAGCAGCCGCGGUAAUACGGAGGAUCCAAGCGUUAUCCGGAAUCAUUGGGUUUAAAGGGUCCGUAGGCGGCCCCGUAAGUCAGUGGUGAAAUCUCCCGGCUCAACCGGGAAAUUGCCAUUGAUACUGCAGGGCUUGAAUUAUUGGGAAGUAACUAGAAUAUGUAGUGUAGCGGUGAAAUGCUUAGAUAUUACAUGGAAUACCGAUUGCGAAGGCAGGUUACUAUCAAUACAUUGACGCUGAUGGACGAAAGCGUGGGUAGCGAACAGGAUUAGAAACCCGCGUAGUCC
rnacentral:rRNA from 1 species